rnacentral:tRNA from 1 species
GGGACGGUUAGCUCAGCGGUAGAGCAUUGCGUUUACAUCGCAAGGGUCGCAGGUUCAAAUCCUGCACUGCCCACCA